GACGAACGCUGGCGGCGUGCUUAACACAUGCAAGUCGAACGAAGUGGCGAACGGGUGAGUAACGCGGAAUCAACCUGCCCUUCAGUGGGGGGCCACAGAGGGAAAAGAAUGCGAAUAGCGCAUACUGAAGGAGGGGAAUGCGUCUGAAUAGGUAGUUGCAGGGGAAACGGCCCACCAAGGCGAUGCUCAGUAGCCGGUCUGAGAGGAUGAACGGCCAGAUUUGGACUGAGACACGGCCCAGGCUCCUUCGGGAGGCAGCAGUGGGGAAUCUUCCGCAAUGGAGGAAAGUCUGACGGAGCAACGCCGCGUGAGUGAUGACGGCCUUCGGGUUGUAAAGCUCUGUUAAUCGGGACGCGGUACCGGAAUAGAAAGCCACGGCUAACUACGUGCCAGCAGCCGCGGUAAUUC
rnacentral:rRNA from 1 species